rnacentral:lncRNA from 1 species
AUGACCGUAAUACCGUGUUAUCGUAAGGCAAAAGAGAGGUCCAAGAUCACAUAUUUAAAAGCCAUAUUUUAAAGUUAAUUAGGUAAUUAGGAUGAAUCUCCACAUUAAAAUUAAUACAUUAAAAUUAAUACAUUAAAAUUAACACAUUAAAAUUAAUCAAGUAAUUUAGGGCGAAUCUCCACAAGGGUAUCCCACAAAUAAAGUGGAAGACCUAAC